rnacentral:sRNA from 1 species
GGCAAUUGUUGUUCAACCUGUGGUUAAAAGUAUGACAGUUAAAAUUAUUAAGUUGACUUAAAAAUAUUGUUGACUUAAAAUUAUUUUGUAUUCAAACAGGAAUGACUGUGAUAAAUAUGUUUUUCGUAUGCAAAAAUAUCAUAAAAGUAAUGGUGGUAUUGUCUGGGGCAACAUCAAGAAAAAAUUAGUUGAAACUGAUUUCUCAACUCCACCACCAAGAAGGAAAACCCCAUUUAACACAGGUAAUAUACUUACAGCUUU